CGCGCAUAGGCGGGGCAUAAUAAUUCAUCAGGACGCUCUUUCUGCAUGGAAGUCGAAGGCCGCGGUGGCACGCGGGUCUGUGGUCGCGGCCACCUCGAUAUGGGCUGGCGAUACGAUAUCGAGAUGGUUAAAGACACGCGUGCGCCACGUACGACCAGUUUCCGACCGCAGUGGCGUAUUUGUUCUACCGUUUAACCCCUGUUGAUCCCAGACAAGUACUAUUAUGGAAAUAGAUUCUGCGAUGGGGAAAAAAGUAACAUUUCCAGAAUGGUAUAAAUAAAUUUCGACGAGAGGUUAGAUCAAAGAAUUCAAAAAAAAAAAACAAAUUCUAUCGGAAAAUUUCAUCUUCUGAUCAAUAAAAUUUUUGUAUUAAAUCUCAAAAUUUUAAAUUUUAAUUCAACGCAUCGAUAUCGUUCGAUAAGGAAAGAGAGAGUGAAUUAUCGUUGGAGGAAUUAAAAUUGGACGAAAGGCUACGCCAUUGGACACUCGCGUCCUUGCGGUUGGAAUUACGCACGAGCUCUCCCCGUUUCUAGCUGAAACAGGGAAUGGGAAGAUCUCGCGAGGAGACGAAGUUUCGAAAAACAGGUGCGAUUCGUAUUGACAUCACGCUUCAACGGCGAUUCUCUAUAUACGAAUGUGUCGGCCUCCUCUCUCAUUGGAUAUGCGUGUGACGUCAGCCGUGUGUCACGUCAGCCGGCGCGAGGCUGAACAAGUGAAAACCGUCCAUCGCGGAGGACGUUUUUCUGCCUCAUUGUCACGCAGAAGUUUCUCGAUUUCCGAUCAACUCGCUUCUCUUCCAUCGUGUACUGAAAAUUAUAUGUUGGAGAAGUUUUUACGAGUUACAGGAAUAGAAUGAUAAAUAGAUGUAAAAAUAAAGACACGUACGUUUAUCACAUACGUUUCGCACGUAUAAGAAUUUAUUAAAUUCUAUCUUACGUAACGAGUACAAUUUUGGUAAUGAAACGAAUUCUACACGUGUGAAUUGUAAAUUAUAAACCAAUUGAUUACUCAAACGGUCAAAUUAUCGCGUUAUCGUUAAAUAUUCUGGAAUUUUACGAUUUUUUCUUUUUUUAUGAUUCGCCGAUGUUCGUCAAAAUGUUUCAUUAAUAUAAAAAGAUGAUUCCGAUUCUUUCUUGCCUUUCACGCUGCAUCCUCUAAAAUUGAAAAUUUUAAGGCACUGAUUAAGGCAGGAAAUAAUGGUAAACGGUACAAAAAGUGAGUUUUAAAAUGGGCGAUCGUAAAUCGAACGCGAUUAUUUGUCGACGGCAUUUAAAUCACUACUCGACACGUCGCCAGUGAUUUAAAUGCGUGGAUGAAAACGAAAAGCGACAGAGAUAAAUCGAGAGCAAUCGAAGAGCAGGUGGGACAGUUGUGGACGGUAAUGCCUGUAAUGAGAUGGACACGUGACCUCGGCAAGGACGUCGCCAUUUUGAGGAAAAAUAAUAAGCGCGGCAAAAUAAAAACGCGAUACACGUUUUCCAUUUUUCCUCAAAACGAGAAAGAUUGAUCACACCUGUAUCGUGUAAAUGUUAUUUAGAAUUUUGAUUCUAAAUAAUUUCAAUUCACAGAAGAAACGGUAAAAAGAAAAAUAUAAUUCAUUUAAAAUUAUGCCAGGUAAUAAUAUACCGUUCUUCGUAAAAUUAGAGAAAAAGAACAUAAAUCAAUUUUUGCUUUAAUGUUACAUUCGUAACAGCCUCGCGAUGAUAUUAAUUCAAUCUAUCGUAAACGUGCUCAUAAGUAAAUGAAUAAACUGCAAAUUAACGCAAUUAUAUAGAUAAGAUCGCGAAAAAUCGAUCCUGCAUCGGGAACAUGUGAUUAAAGAGGAAGGGAGGGGAGAGAAAAAAGCAUGGAAACGUGUCUUUACAACCCAAUGCACUGGGAAGAUUCCCAUCGGUACUCGUGCACGGCAAAUUACGUAAGAAGCUGACAAUGCCAGUCUCGUAACAUCCUCGAGGAAAAAGCAAUUCGAUGGAGCUAGCUUCUCUAAAAAGAAUACAUACCGUUUUAAAAUCGAGUAAGAAUAUCGUAGAAUAUGAUUAAUCUUACUCCAAGACUGAGAUCAAGAGUGAGAGCGAUCAAGCGAGGAGAGAGAGAGAGAGAGAGAAAGAGAGAGAGGAAAGAAAGAGUCUGUGGUCUAAACAGUGUUUACAUUCACCUGAUUUCUAUCGAUACUCCCGAUGAUCACUGCUUUUAUAUCCGUCGAGCGCAAUAUAUUCCUUCGACACUGAUUCGUCGUUGCAACAACAAAGAAAAUAUAAAUUCACAAGGAGAUGAGAAGUAGUGGUUCACAAGUCGAGUCACGAGCGAGGUAUCACAACGUGGAAAGUCGGGAAACGAGCGGCAAACGAUAUUCCCGCGCAUGCUGCCGUGGCCGGCGCUCACGAUACUGCCCGAAUGCUUUCUGACGGAUCUGAUGCCAGCCACUGAGGUGGCCCAGUGGGAGACGAAGAUCGCCGGAGCGGCACGAAGCGCGCCCGAACUAUCAGCAGUGACGAGAUGAUCAAGUUGGACCCCGAUCGGAAAGCCAGCAAUAGUUCCUUUUCUAAAUGGGCAAAACGGAUUUUUCGUCGUGUUGAAAAUUAUCAAGGAUCAAGAAAUUACUUUUUUCUUAAUCUUCUGAUUAAUUAGUUAGUUACAAGAUUAAUUGAUCCUUGUCAAUUUAUUAUUAAAUUAAUAUAUGUUUCGAUGUAAAAAUUAAAAAUGUGUUAUUCUUGAUUCGUUCAUACUAUGUACUUUUUUAGCAAUGAAAUUAAUGAUAAUAUUAAGUAGAGAGAUGAGUGAGGUUGAGAUAUAAAAAAGUGUACGUGUAAAAAGGUAUAUUUACCAGAGGAAGGACAACGAUCGAAUCAGGGACAAUAUCUGAGUAAGGGAUAUGGCGAGAGACGAGGACAUCCGUGUUUCGAUAAAAGCGGUCAGGAGGUCACUGUCGAUCUUCCACCAUAGUGUCAUCGAUAUAUUCCAUGUAUAUAAUAACUGUCAAAAUGAUAUUUAUAUAUCUAUAUUAUUAUUUAUAUAUUUAUGAAACGUAAUAAUAUGUAAAUGAUUUCAAAAUUGUAUGUAAACGAGUCUUUAAGAUUUGAACAAAGUUCAACUUUUUUACAACUGCGAUAUAAAUAUUAAUGAAAUAAUCAAAGAGAUCGCAUGAAUAUUCGUAUAUUAUAUUUUAUAUAAGUUAAUUAUUCAACAACUUUAACUUUAAUUUAAUUUUAAUUAAUUAAUAAAUUAUGGAAAUACAAAUACAAAAUUUUAUUAAAUAAAUUUUUUCUUAUAACAGAC